rnacentral:rRNA from 1 species
CCUACGGGAGGCUGCAGUGAGGAAUAUUGGUCAAUGGGCGAGAGCCUGAACCAGCCAAGUCGCGUGAAGGAUGACGGCCCUACGGGUUGUAAACUUCUUUUGUCAGGGAGCAAUUGGGUCCACGCGUGGGCUUAGCGAGAGUACCUGACGAAAAAGCAUCGGCUAACUCCGUGCCAGCAGCCGCGGUAAUACGGAGGAAGCGAGCGUUCUCCGGAUGUAUUGGGUUUAAAGGUUGCGUAGGCGGAAUAUCAAGUCAGCGGUAAAAAUUCGGGGCUCAACCCCGUAGUGCCGUUGAAACUGAUGUACUUGAGUGGGCGAGAAGUAUGCGGAAUGCGUGGUGUAGCGGUGAAAUGCAUAGAUAUCACGCAGAACACCGAUUGCGAAGGCAGCAUACCGGCGCCCAACUGACGCUGAAGCACGAAAGCGUGGGUAUCGAACAGGAUUAGAUACCCGGGUAGUC